CGAACCCGGUGCAUCACAGCCCUAGAGCCCCACAGGAGCGUCCCUCGUCUCGCUCCCUCCUCCCUCUCCGUCUCUCUCUCACUCUCCAACUCUGGAAUGGCUCGCUUCCUCAAUCCAAUUACUCUAGUCCGCGCGCAGCACCUCACCUCUCUCCGUUAUCUUCUACUCUCCGGCGGCCUCUGCGCCAAACGAUCUCGAGUGAGCACACGCGCAGAAUCUGUGGAUGAGGCCAGUCGGAGCUCCGGGGUGGUUGUUCAAGGGGCGAGCCAUUCCGAUUAUACCGCGGAGUACAAGAGGUGGAAGGAGCACGAGGAGGAGAUCCUCAAUGACAUUGAGCCCAUAACUCUGCUCGCCAAGGACAUACUCCACUCGGACCGGUAUGCAGAUGGUGAUUUCCUAACAGCUCAAGAUGAGAAAGAGGUGGUUAAGAAUCUUCUGGCAUAUCACCCUAAUGCAGAUGAUAAAAUUGGCUGCGGCUUAAGUUCAAUUAUGGUUGAUAGGCAUCCAACAUUCAAACAGUCAAGGUGCUUGUUUGUUGUACGGACAGAUGGUGGAUGGAUAGAUUUUUCAUAUAAGAAAUGCCUUCAGGCAUAUAUCCGUGAGAAAUAUCCAUCUUGUGCUGAAAAGUUUAUUAAAGGAUAUUUUAAGCAAAGGUAGCUGAGUUGUUUCAGUCAUCCACCGAAAUUCUGGUUGCAACUUCUCACAGUAUGUUUGGCAGCUAUUCUGUUGGAAUUGAUUUUAUUCAUCAUCGGUAACGAUGUUUCCUUGACUCGUGAAUAAUGAAGUUUAAACUGGGAGGGAAAACUUCAUCCAACUUCCCCUCCUCCACUUGUACAUGAACCACCAUACGAAAGGAGGUCCUCCUGUAUCAUUUCACAUGCAUGAAUGGAACAUUGACUGCUUCAAAGAAAAAAAUGUAACGUCUACCAAAUCAAAGUUGAGAUUCAAUUUCUUCGUUAUGAAUCAACUUGAAAAAUGGGUAAGAAAGUGUCCAGAUCAGGAAGUAAAUAACUUCUACCUUUGUGGGAGCCAGCAGGCGGCAACUGCAAAUAGAACACUGUAUGUUAUCAAAAUAUGAUUUUAUCAAGAAAUGGCAUCGCCAAAAAUAUUCUGUAGCCUAAGCAUACUGUCUAGAAUUGAAACUUGAAUGUAUUC